AUAAAAUAGAGAAGCAUAAUAUAGUUAAAGAUUGAACAGUCUAUGCCAAAGUCUGGGUGUGUCAGGUUUGGAGUAGUUUACAAUAACAGGAAACAAGAGCCUGCUGAAUACAAGACACCAUGUUGUACAGAAUAAGUUCUGAUACAAUCUGCAGCAAAUACUACAUAGCAGAACACAGGAAGUUACAGCUGCUGGAGUGUUUUUCCCCAAGAAAAGAAAUAAAUACAGAAUCUCAAACAUGCACUGAUAAUUCCUUCCACUCACAAAGGAUGGCGGAAGUGCCUUCAUUGGAACCUUAAUCACUGGAAAAGUGGCUUCUGCACCUGUGGUGAACUACAUAUACCUGUCUGGACACGCCUCCUGCUGGCUGCUCCUGUGGCUCCUCUCACGGACCCCGGUAUAAAGGUGAUUGGAGACACAGCCCCGGCCUCAGUCUCCAGGACGUAGUGUGGUGGUCACUUGCUGAUUGUUCUUUCUUCCAGCCAAUAAAAGCCUAUAUCUUGC